GACGAACGCUGGCGGCGUGCCUAAUACAUGCAAGUCGAGCGGACUGAAUGGGAGCUUGCUCUUGUUCGGUCAGCGGCGGACGGGUGAGUAACACGUGGGCAACCUGCCCGCAAGACCGGGAUAACUCCGGGAAACCGGAGCUAAUACCAGAUAACACCGAAGACCGCAUGGUCUUUGGUUGAAAGGCGGCGCAAGCUGCCACUUGCGGAUGGGCCCGCGGCGCAUUAGCUAGUUGGUGAGGUAACGGCUCACCAAGGCGACGAUGCGUAGCCGGCCUGAGAGGGUGACCGGCCACACUGGGACUGAGACACGGCCCAGACUCCUACGGGAGGCAGCAGUAGGGAAUCUUCCGCAAUAGGCGAAAGCCUGACGGAGCGACGCCGCGUGAGCGAAGAAGGCCUUCGGGUCGUAAAGCUCUGUUGUGAGGGACGAAGGAGCGCCGUUUGAAGAAGGCGGCGCGGUGACGGUACCUCACGAGGAAGCCCCGGCUAACUACGUG
rnacentral:rRNA from 1 species